CCAGACUCCUACGGGAGGCAGCAGUGAGGUAUAUUGGUCAAUGGGCGAGAGCCUGAACCAGCCAAGUCGCGUGAGGGAUGACUGCCCUAUGGGUUGUAAACCUCUUUUGUAUGGGGGGAAUAAGCUUUACGAGUAGAGUGAUGACAGUACCAUACGAAUAAGCAUCGGCUAACUCCGUGCCAGCAGCCGCGGUAAUACGGAGGAUGCGAGCGUUAUCCGGAUUUAUUGGGUUUAAAGGGUGCGUAGGCGGCAUUAUAAGUUAGUGGUAAAAUAUUGGGGCUUCACCUCACUACGCCAUUAAUACUGUAGAGCUAGAGAACAGACGAGGUAGGCGGAAUAAGUUAAGUAGCGGUGAAAUGCAUAGAUAUCACGCAGACCCCCGAUUGCGAAGGCAGCAUGCCGGCUUCCGACUGACGCUGAAGCACGAAAGCGUGGGGAUCGAACAGGAUUAGAUACCCGGGUAC
rnacentral:rRNA from 1 species